rnacentral:rRNA from 1 species
GACGUAGGGCGCAAGCGUUGUCCGGAUUUAUUGGGCGUAAAGAGCUCGUAGGCGGCUUGUUGCGUCGACCGUGAAAACCCGUGGCUCAACUGCGGGCUUGCGGUCGAUACGGGCGGGCUAGAGUUCGGUAGGGGAGACUGGAAUUCCUGGUGUAGCGGUGAAAUGCGCAGAUAUCAGGAGGAACACCGGUGGCGAAGGCGGGUCUCUGGACCGGCAUUGACGCUGAACAGCGAAAGCCAGGGGAGCAAACGGG